rnacentral:rRNA from 1 species
GACGAACGCUGGCGGCGCGCUUAAUACAUGCAAGUCGAGCGAGAACCGGAGCUUCGGCUCCGGGGACAGCGGCGAACGGGUGAGUAACACGUGGGUAACCUGCCCUCGGCACCGGGAUAGCCCGGGGAAACCCGGAUUAAUACCGGAUGGCCCUUUCGGUCUUCGGACCGGUCGGCAAAGGUAGCUUCGGCCUCCGGCCGAGGAUGGGCCCGCGGCGGAUUAGCUUGUUGGUGAGGUAACGGCUCACCAAGGCUCCGAUCCGUAGCUGGUCUGAGAGGACGAUCAGCCACACUGGGACUGAGACACGGCCCAGACUCCUACGGGAGGCAGCAGUAGGGAAUCUUGCGCAAUGGGCGAAAGCCUGACGCAGCGACGCCGCGUGCGGGAAGACGGCCUUCGGGUUGUAAACCGCUUUCAGGAGGGACGAAGCCACUCGGGUGAAUAGCCCAGAGGGUGGCGGUACCUCCAGAAGAAACCCCGGCUAACUACGUGCCAGCCGCCGCAGUAA